UACGUAGGGUGCAAGCGUUAAUCGGAAUUACUGGGCGUAAAGCGUGCGCAGGCGGUUUUGUAAGUCAGAUGUGAAAUCCCCGGGCUUAACCUGGGAACUGCGUUUGAAACUACAAGGCUAGAGUGUGGCAGAGGGGGGUGGAAUCCACGUGUAGCAGUGAAAUGCGUAGAGAUGUGGAGGAACACCGAUGGCGAAGGCAGCCCCCUGGGUUAACACUGACGCUCAGGCACGAAAGCGUGGGGAGCAAACAGG
rnacentral:rRNA from 1 species